rnacentral:rRNA from 1 species
CGGAGGGUGCAAGCGUUGUCCGGAUUUAUUGGGUUUAAAGGGUGCGUAGGUGGUUUGAUAAGUCCGGGGUGAAAGCCCACAGCUCAACUGUGGAACUGCCCUGGAUACUGUCAGACUUGAGGUUAGACGAGGUUGGCGGAAUAGAAGGUGUAGCGGUGAAAUGCAUAGAUACCUUCUAGAACCCCGAUUGCGUAGGCAGCUGACUAGGCUACACCCGACACUGAGGCACGAAAGCGUGGGGAGCGAACAGGAUUAGAUACCCUGGUAGUCCACGCCGUAAACGAUGGAUACUCGCUGGUGGCGAUAGACAGUCACUGGCUUAGCGAAAGCGGUAAGUAUCCCACCUGGGGAGUACGCUCGCAAGAGUG